rnacentral:rRNA from 1 species
UGGGGAAUAUUGGACAAUGGGGGGAACCCUGAUCCAGCCAUGCCGCGUGUGUGAAGAAGGCCUUAUGGUUGUAAAGCACUUUAAGCGAGGAGGAGGGUACUGGUAUUAAUACUACCAGGUACUGGACGUUACUCGCAGAAUAAGCAACGGCUAACUCUGUGCCAGCAGCCGCGGUAAUACAGAGGGUGCGAGCGUUAAUCGGAUUUACUGGGCGUAAAGCGUGCGUAGGCGGCUAAUUGAGUCGGAUGUGAAAUCCCCGAGCUUAACUUGGGAAUUGCAUUCGAUACUGGUUAGCUAGAGUGUGGGAGAGGAUGGUAGAGUUCCAGGUGUAGCGGUGAAAUGCGUAGAGAUCUGGAGGAAUACCGAUGGCGAAGGCAGCCAUCUGGCCUAACACUGACGCUGAGGUACGAAAGCAUGGGGAGCAAACAGG